rnacentral:rRNA from 1 species
AACGAACGCUGGCGGCAUGCCUAACACAUGCAAGUCGAACGAGACCUUCGGGUCUAGUGGCGCACGGGUGCGUAACGCGUGGGAACCUGCCCUUAGGUUCGGAAUAACUCCCCGAAAGGGGUGCUAAUACCGGAUAAUGUCUUCGGACCAAAGAUUUAUCGCCAUUGGAUGGGCCCGCGUUGGAUUAGCUAGUUGGUAGGGUAAAAGCCUACCAAGGCGACGAUGCAUAGCUGGUCUGAGAGGAUGAUCAGCCACACUGGGACUGAGACACGGCCCAGACUCCUACGGGAGGCAGCAGUGGGGAAUAUUGGACACUGGGCGAAGGCCUGAUCCAGCAAUGCCGCGUAAGUGAUGAAGGCCUUAGGGUUGUAAAGCUCUUUUACCCGGGAUGAUAAUGACAGUACCGGGAGAAUAAGCUCCGGCUAACUCCGUG